AACGCGAAGAACCUUACCAGCUCUUGACAUGUCUCGUUUGGGGACCGGAGACGGUUUCCUUCAGUUCGGCUGGCGAGAACACAGGUGCUGCAUGGCUGUCGUCAGCUCGUGUCGUGAGAUGUUGGGUUAAGUCCCGCAACGAGCGCAACCCUCGCCCUUAGUUGCCAUCAUUCAGUUGGGCACUCUAGGGGGACUGCCGGUGAUAAGCCGAGAGGAAGGUGGGGAUGACGUCAAGUCCUCAUGGCCCUUACGGGCUGGGCUACACACGUGCUACAAUGGCGGUGACAAUGGGAUGCGGAGGGGCGACCCCGAGCAAAUCUCAAAAAGCCGUCUCAGUUCGGAUUGCACUCUGCAACUCGAGUGCAUGAAGUUGGAAUCGCUAGUAAUCGUAGAUCAGAACGCUACGGUGAAUACGUUCCCGGGCCUUGUA
rnacentral:rRNA from 1 species